rnacentral:rRNA from 1 species
UACGUAGGCGGAAUACCAAGUAUCUUGUGAAAUCCCUCGGCUCAACCGAGGAAUUGCAGGGUAAACUGGCAUUCUUGAGGCAGGUAGAGGUAACUGGAACUCAUGGUGGAGCGGUGGAAUGCGUAGAUAUCAUGGGGAACGCCAAAGGUGAAGACAAGUUACUGGGCCUGUCCUGACGCUGAGGUACGAAAGCGUGGGUAGCAAACAGGAUUAGAUACCCUGGUAGUCC